rnacentral:siRNA from 1 species
UAUCGAUCACUUGCCCAAUCUG